AGGGUUUGAUUAUGGCUCAGGAUGAACGCUGGCGGCGUGCCUAAUACAUGCAAGUAGAACGCUGAAGCUUGGUGCUUGCACCGAGUGGAUGAGUUGCGAACGGGUGAGUAACGCGUAGGUAACCUGCCUGGUAGCGGGGGAUAACUAUUGGAAACGAUAGCUAAUACCGCAUAACAACAGUUGUUGCAUGACAGCUGUUUGAAAGGGGCAAUUGCUCCACUACCAGAUGGACCUGCGUUGUAUUAGCUAGUUGGUGAGGUAACGGCUCACCAAGGCGACGAUACAUAGCCGACCUGAGAGGGUGAUCGGCCACACUGGGACUGAGACACGGCCCAG
rnacentral:rRNA from 1 species